UACGGAGGGUGCGAGCGUUGUUCGGAAUCAUUGGGCGUAAAGCGCGCGCAGGCGGCUUUGCAAGUCUAUGGGUGAAAUGCCGGGGCUCAACCCCGCGCAUGCCCAAGAUACUGCGGAGCUGGAGACAUGUAGAGGCUGGCGGAAUUUCGGGUGUAGCGGUGGAAUGCGUAGAUAUCCGAAAGAACACCGGAGGCGAAGGCGGCUCGCUGGGCCUGGUCUGACGCUGAGGCGCGAAAGCGUGGGGAGCGAACAGG
rnacentral:misc_RNA from 1 species